rnacentral:misc_RNA from 1 species
CAGGUUCGGGGGGCUGCGACG